CAGGAGUUAAGGCAGAUGUGGAGGCACAACGUGUGAUACCAGACACACACCAAGCACAUUAUGUUCGGACAUUCAAUCAUGACAGGAUCCAGGUGGAUGCUGUCCAUUGAGAAAAGAGUUUGUUCAGCGGUUUCUGGAUAGAAUUAAUUCCAAAGAUGGGAAAAAGUGCACAUCCAGACAAGGAGCAAGCAAAAAGACAAGGAACUUGGUGCAGAGAAAAGCUGUGGCCAUUAACCCCCAUGUGAACAGCUUCAUGCAGUCCCUGAUUGAGUUCGAAUGGACGACUUCAAAGUAAAGGCCACUGUGGUCUGUCUGCCACAGUUUAAUGCAUUUAUUUUUAGUGUUAAAUGAAAUUUAAGUAGAAUAUUUAAAACUAUGGGCCAGUGUUCUUUUUACCACAGUGAAAUGUUACCUUUUAGUCGAUGAUGGACUUUAAACUGAAAACUUCAAACUAUGGAACAGUGUUCUAUUUGCCAGAGUUAAAUAUGUUACAGCAGGGGUCUCCAAACUUGUUUAUACUUGUUGAUUUUAUUUUAUGUUACUUGAUUAUAUGUUUAUUAUUGUUUAAAAUCUUGUUUUAAAUAUGUUUGUUUCAAUUAAAUGUUUUUUUAAAUAAAAUUUUGAUACAUA